GACGAACGCUGGCGGCGUGCUUAACACAUGCAAGUCGAACGGAAAGGCCCUGCUUUUGUGGGGUGCUCGAGUGGCGAACGGUGAGUAACACGUGAGUAACCUGCCCUUGACUUUGGGAUAACUUCAGGAAACUGGGGCUAAUACCGGAUAGGAGCUCCUGCUGCAUGGUGGGGUUGGAAAGUUUCGGCGGUUGGGGAUGGACUCGCGGCUUAUCAGCUUGUUGGUGGGGUAGUGGCUUACCAAGGCUUUGACGGGUAGCCGGCCUGAGAGGGUGACCGGCCACAUUGGGACUGAGAUACGGCCCAGACUCCUACGGGAGGCAGCAGUGGGGAAUAUUGCACAAUGGGCGGAAGCCUGAUGCAGCAACGCCGCGUGCGGGAUGACGGCCUCGGUGUAACGACUUCGUCCUCGUGACGAAGACGUGAGUGACGGUAAGUA
rnacentral:rRNA from 1 species